rnacentral:rRNA from 1 species
UACGUAGGGACCAAGCGUUGUUCGGAUUUACUGGGCGUAAAGGGCGCGUAGGCGGCGCGGUAAGGCACUUGUGAAAUCUCUGAGCUUAACUCAGAACGGCCAAGUGAUACUGCAGUGCUAGAGUGUGGAAGGGGCAAUCGGAAUUCUUGGUGUAGCGGUGAAAUGCGUAGAUAUCAAGAGGAACACCUGAGGCGAAGACGGGUUGCUGGGCCAACACUGACGCUGAUGCGCGAAAGCCAGGGGAGCAAACGGG